GCGGGGGCACGGGGGGAGAGUUUGAUCCUGGCUCAGAACGAACGCUGGCGGCGUGCUUAACACAUGCAAGUCGAACGCGAACGAUUUCUUUCGGGAAAUUUAGUAGAGUGGCGCACGGGUGAGUAACGCGUAAGUAAUCUACCUAGGCAUCUGGGAUAACAAUUCGAAAGGAUUGCUAAUACCGGAUUCGUUGGAGACAAGAAAGGUGGCCUCUGUUUCAUGCUACUGUGCUUAGAGGAGCUUGCGUACCAUUAGCUAGUUGGUGGGGUAAUGGCCUACCAAGGCGACGAUGGUUAGCGGGUCUGAGAGGAUGAUCCGCCACACUGGAACUGGAACACGGACCAGACUCCUACGGGAGGCAGCAGUGAGGAAUAUUGCGCAAUGGGGGCAACCCUGACGCAGCGACGCCGCGUGGAUGAUGAAGGCUUUCGGGUCGUAAAAUCCUGUCAGAUGGGAAGAAGUGCAUAUGUAUUAAUACUAUUUAUGUUGACGGUACCAUCAAGA
rnacentral:rRNA from 1 species